GGAGGGUGCGAGCGUUGUCCGGAAUCACUGGGCGUAAAGGGCACGUAGGCGGCUCGGCAAAUCGGUCGUGGAAUCUCGACGCUUACCGUCGAAACGGCGGCCGAAAAUACCGGGCUCGAGGGCGUGAGGGGUCACUGGAACUCCUGGUGAAGCGGUGAAAUGCGUAGAUAUCAGGAGGAACGCCGGAGGCGAAAGCGAGUGACUGGCGCGUUCCUGACGCUGAGGUGCGAAAGCUAGGGGAGCAAACAGGAUUAGAUACCCUGGUAGUCCUAGCCGUAAACGAUGGACACUGAGUGAAGGAGGGCUUGCCCUUCUUUGCUGCAGCUAACGCGUUAAGUGUCCCGCCUGGGGAGUACGGCCGCAAGGUUA
rnacentral:rRNA from 1 species